AAAUAUGGAGGUAACCUGGCUGAGACCUCUGCCACCUUAUUGAUCCUCAGGUCUGGCUGGCUAGCUAUUGUGCGUUCCUCCCUCACCACUCUAGUGUAUCCCUUUAGAGCUGUGUUGGUUGGUCGGAGAGGAUGACCAGCCCAGUGGAGGAAGACCCUGCCUCCUUAGGGGUACACAGGUAGCUUCACUCCCCUGCUAGAAGCUCCAAACAAGCUCUCAAGGUAAAUACAGAAACUGCACAGAUCAUGACUGUGCAGCGUGAUGAUGUAUCAAGUAAAUGCACUCA
rnacentral:snRNA from 1 species